rnacentral:rRNA from 1 species
UACAGAGGUCUCAAGCGUUGUUCGGAUUCAUUGGGCGUAAAGGGUGCGUAGGCGGCGCGGUAAGUCGGGUGUGAAAUCUCGGGGCUUAACUGCGGGCCUGCAGCCGAUACGGGCAGGCUAGAGUUCGGUAGGGGAGACUGGAAUUCCUGGUGUAGCGGUGAAAUGCGCAGGAUAUCAGGAGGAACACCGGUGGCGAAGGCGGGUCUCUGGGCCGAUACUGACGCUGAGGAGCGAAAGCGUGGGGAGCGAACAGG